GUUUGAUCCUGGCUCAGGACGAACGCUGGCGGCGUGCCUAACACAUGCAAGUCGAGCGGAGACAGUGAGUAGCUUGCUAUGAGCUGUUUUAGCGGCGGACGGGUGAGUAACGCGUGAGCAACCUUUCCCAGACAGGGGAAUAACACACCGAAAGGUGUACUAAUACCGCAUAAGACCACGGGAUCACAUGGUUCUGAGGUAAAAGAUUUAUCGGUUUGGGGUGGGCUCGCGUCCGAUUAGGUAGUUGGUGAGGUAACGGCCCACCAAGCCGACGAUCGGUAGCCGACCUGAGAGGGUGAUCGGCCACAUUGGGACUGAGACACGGCCCAAACUCCUACGGGAGGCAGCAGUGGGGAAUAUUGGGCAAUGGAGGAAACUCUGACCCAGCAACGCCGCGUGGAGGAAGAAGGUUUUCGGAUCGUAAACUCCUGUCCUUGGAGACGAGUAGAAGACGGUAUCCAAGGAGGAAGCCCCGGCUAACUACGUGCCAGCAGCCGCGGUAAUACGUAGGGGGCAAGCGUUGUCCGGAAUAAUUGGGCGUAAAGGGCGCGUAGGCGGCUCGGUAAGUCUGGAGUGAAAGUCCUGCUUUUAAGGUGGGAAUUGCUUUGGAUACUG
rnacentral:rRNA from 1 species